rnacentral:piRNA from 1 species
CCAUGUAUUUUUGUUACAAAUUUUCUGGGG